ACCUAGUACAGUUCGUCAUUUAACAAAAACAGUAAAGCCACAAAUCAUCUGGUCAUUUUUUUUCUCUCUCUAAAGACACCCGAAACGACAAAUGGCAAAGCAGUAGUAAAGAUAUAAAUAGUUACUUUCUGCCUACCAUACUGCUGAAAAAUAAUAUUCCCAGAUCGUUGUAUUUGAGAUGCGGAACCGAAACUUGACAUGUAACUAUCAUGUGACGGUCAUAUUUUAGAUGUUAUAGCGAGAGUUGUAUCAGGUUUGGUCUUUGUUUUUAAGUUGUGAAAUUUGCAGUUUUCAUUUAUGUAAAGGAAUGGAUGUUCUAUUCAAGAUAGCUGUGAUUACGUUAAUCACAUUCAACUUACAAUUAUUCGGACGCUCGCAACCACAACACGAUCCUGUCAACAACAAAGACAGCAGUGCGCAGUUGCAGUUUAAGACGGAGAUAAUUGAUGCCCAAUUUAAUAGCACCCUUUAUAUAAAAAACGUGAGUCUGGAGCAACAGUAUUUAUUUGUCUAUAGCUACAGCGAAACUAACAAGACAACAGCAGUACGUAUUUCUGCAUCCAGCAAAGAAGCUGACGGCAACUUCCCUAUUACUUUUGUAGUACGUCAGCAAGAGGGUAUUCUUUCUUGGCAGGUCCCUGUGUAUAUUGAUUAUGUUUAUAAAUUCCAGUUUGUGGACCGCACUCUUUGUCCCAUGGAUAAGACCAGGAGGCUGAACAUGACAACACAGCAGCACAUUUUUGUUGAUGUGGCCACGAUGUCUAACAGUAAUAUCAGCUUCAGUCUCAUGGCCAAGCUCUUGCCUGAUUUUGAACUGGUACAUGAUGUGACCAGAAAUGUGACAACAUCACCAUCACAGCCUCAGUAUUACAUGUACACCUUUCCUGAGGAUGUUGACACAGUCUUGUUGAAGGUGACGUCAGAUGAUAACCUCUGUGCAGUUGUCUCAGUGCAACAGAUCAAGUGUCCUGUGAUGGAUCUAGACAACAACAUUGGCUAUGGGGGAAAGCAUCAAACUAUGACUACACAAGCUGCGAUGUUUCUCCAGAAAAGCAACUAUCAACAAUUUGCUGCCUUCUAUGUGGUCAUCGUGGUCAAGCCCAUUAAUGCAGACUGUUCAGUGCAAGAUAUCAUUCGUCGUGCUGAACCUGAGAGUGUGACAAGCAAGAAUCUCUCUAUUGUGAUUACACGCACAAUCCCAAGUUCACAGUACUACAAGGCUAUAUUCAGCGCUCUUAGUAUUUUCUUAGGGUUUUACAUAGUUGCUGCCAUCAUUGGCUGCAUCUAUCAUGGCUGUGGGUGUCACAGAAACAUCAUGGACUUGACCCAUGCUGAGAAAGAAAAGCUUUUGGGCUGUACCUCAAUGACUGGAAGUGUAGAAGGUAGCCAAGGGCAUCAGUGCUAUGAUAGCCAAAGCAGCAUGUUAUCUGAUGGCAAUAUCUCAGAGUGUGAAAACCAGCUUCUGACAAGAUCACAACUGUCAGCUUAUGGUUCCAUAAUGAAAAAUCCGCUGUCGGAAAGCAACCAUUCUGCAGGAUCAGGUAAUAUGGAACCUAAUGUUAGUACUUCAUACAGAAGCAGCAUUGGGGACAAUGAUGAUGAACUGGACACAUCUGAUGUUGACUUUCUACCUGAUGCUGACUUCGAAAAAGAUGUCUUGAGGGCUAAGACAGUGCUGUAUGUCAGUGACUUGGCUCGGAAGUCUUACAAGAGGUUGUCCAAAACUUUCAAGGUCUAUCACUGGAACCUCAUUACCAUUGCCAUUUUUUAUGGCUUGCCUGUAGCCCAGCUGGUCUUGACUUACCAACAGGCUUUGCUGGACACAGGCAAUGAUGAUCUGUGCUAUUACAACUUUGACUGUGCUCAUCCCAUUCAUGACGUCAGUGCCUUCAACAACAUUAUCAGCAACAUGGGUUAUGUCCUCCUGGGUCUGCUGUUCUUUAUUCUGGUAUGGCGAAGAGAUUUAUUGCAUCGAAAGCUUGUGGUAGAAAACCCAGAGUUAGAGCGCUGCUAUGGGAUUCCACAGCACUAUGGGCUGCUGUAUGCCAUGGGUCUAGCUCUUAUUAUGGAGGGUGUCACAAGUGCCUGCUAUCAUGUCUGCCCCAGCUAUUCUAACUUCCAGUUUGAUACAUCCUUCAUGUACAUUAUUGCCUGUUUGUGCAUGCUGAAGAUAUAUGAGACUCGCCACCCUGAUGUUCAGGCCAAAGCCUACAAGUCUUACUUCUCUAUGGCUCUGCUUAUCUUCAUAGCUGUCCUUGGAGUGGUGUAUGGUUCCAAUAUUUUUUGGAUUUUUUAUGCCCUGGUGCACAUGCUGAGUAGCCUAGUGCUCAGCGCACAGAUUUAUUAUGUCGGACGCAUCAAACUAGAUCGCUAUAUCGUCAAACGCCUUUUUGUACUCCUUGCAUCUGACUGCUUCCAUUGUAUUAGGCCCACAUAUCCAUGCCCUUUAUGGCGCCAUUGUCCACCCAAUGGACUUUGCUAGCUUCUUACUGGGUAUCUUCAUUGGCAACCUCCUCCUCUAUCUUCUCUUUUAUAUACUUAUGAAGUUGGUGAGCGGCGAGAAGAUCAACUUGUUAACAGUCCUGUGUAUUGUUGCUGCCAGCAUCACAUGGGCCUUUGCUCUCUACUUUUUCUUUCACCAUCUGUCAUCUUGGAAG
rnacentral:misc_RNA from 1 species